CCUACGGGGGGCAGCAGUAGGGAAUCUUGCGCAAUGGGGGAAACCCUGACGCAGCAACGCCGCGUGAUCGAUGAAGCCCUUCGGGGUGUAAAGAUCUGUCAGUGGGGACGAAACCUGACGGUACCUGAAGAAGAAGCACCGGCUAACUACGUGCCAGCAGCCGCGGUAAUACGUAGGGGGCAAGCGUUAUCCGGAUUUAUUGGGUGUAAGGGGGGCGCAGACGGCGAUGCAAGCCAGGAGUGAAAGCGCGGGGCCCAACCCAGGGACUGCUGUUGGAACUGGGUGGCUGGAGUGCAGGAGGGGCAGGCGGAAUGCCUGGGGUAGCGGUGAAAUGCGUAGAUAUCAGGAGGAACACCGGUGGCGAAGGCAGCCUGCUGAACUACAACUGACGUUGAGGCCCGAAAGCGUGGGGAGCAAACAGGAUUAGAUACCCGUGUAGUC
rnacentral:rRNA from 1 species